GCGCUCACUUCAGCAGCACAUAUACUAAAAUUGGAACGGCACAGAGAAGAUUAUCAUAGCCCCUUUGUAAGGAUAGCACACAAAUGUGGAUAGUAUUCUAUAUUUUG